ensembl:lncRNA
GGAAACUAUCAGCUUUUAAACGUCUUUCUACCCACAAGAUCUGUAAGUUUGUACUGUAUUGGUCUGUGUUUGAGCGCCAUCUGGUGGACAGACGCCAUUUUGAAUUGAAACUCGUCCGCCAUCUUGUAAUUGAGGUGAACGAGGAGAAAGUAGUGCCGAUGUUCAUCUCACUACCCAAAUUGAACUUGUAUUCUUUCACUGAAAAUAGUACCUUGUCUUAUGUUGAAAAAAAAAUAUUUGACUUUUGAUUUUUAAAUAUCAGUCCCUAUAAUAUGGAAUAACGACCAAAUCAAAGAAGAAUAAAACAGAAUCUAUAAAUAAUUAAUCUAAUUGGGAUGUUAAAAUAAAGGUGAUAAACGUGGCGCGGAUUGAUACAUGUCGGAGAAGAGGACAGCGCGAGGCGGACGGUUCAAUUGAGCUGUUCGUCAGGAGUGUACAGUCACGGUUAGCAUACCAUGAAGAUCCUCGGGCAUAAUCUUAUGACCUCUUUAAGAUGCAGAAGAAGACGACAUUCCUCAGACAUCUUGGUGCAGUGAUACCAAAUACCAGUGUAAGGAAAGAUUUCUUUACAACACCAUAGAAACACUCUACUGACUUCUUAAAACAUAUCAACAGUAAAAAUGGCAAGAGGAGGGGAAAAAAAAGCUAUUGCUAUACAGCACAUGGUAAGUGAAAAAUGUGUGAUGUGAUAAAACUUGUAAAUGAAUUAGGUUGAAAGGUCUGGAAGGAUCAUCUUCAUUUGUAUGCUACUCGGGCAACCAGUCAAGACAACAGUGUUUUGAAUUACGUUGCUGGUGGCAACGGUUGUCAAGGCAACAUUGGAGAUUAUAACUUUGUACAACAUUGUAAUUUAUAACAGUAAAUCAGAAUGAUAAGUAGAUCAUUUUAUGCCAGCCUAAUAUUUUGGCACUCUGUAGAGUAAUGUGCAUUUUGCACUACUCUAAACAUUUUUCUGAG